rnacentral:rRNA from 1 species
CCUACGGGAGGCAGCAGUGGGGAAUCUUGCACAAUGGGCGAAAGCCUGAUGCAGCGACGCCGCGUGCGGGAUGAAGGCCUUCGGGUUGUAAACCGCUUUCAGCAGGGACGAGGCGAAAGUGACGGUACCUGCAGAAGAAGCCCCGGCUAACUACGUGCCAGCAGCCGCGGUAAUACGUAGGGGGCAAGCGUUAUCCGGAUUCAUUGGGCGUAAAGCGCGCGUAGGCUGCCCAGUAGGUCGAGAGUUAAAUCCGGGGGCUCAACCCCCGUCCGCUCCCGAUACCGCUGGGCUUCGAGUCUGGUAGGGGAAGGUGGAAUUCCCAGUGUAGCGGUGGAAUGCGCAGAUAUUGGGAAGAACACCGGUGGCGAAGGCGGCCUUCUGGGCCAUGACUGACGCUGAGGCGCGAAAGCUAGGGGAGCGAACAGGAUUAGAUACCCCAGUAGUC